rnacentral:rRNA from 1 species
UACGUAGGGGUGCGAGCGUUAAUCGGAAUUACUGGGCGUAAAGCGCGCGUAGGCGGCUUUGCAAGUCGGGUGUGAAAUCCCCAGGCUUAACCUGGGAACUGCAUUCGAGACUGCAUUGCUAGAGUAUGGGAGAGGGAAGUGGAAUUUCCGGUGUAGCGGUGAAAUGCGUAGAUAUCGGAAGGAACAUCAGUGGCGAAAGCGACUUCCUGGACCAAUACUGACGUCAUGUGCGAAAGCGUGGGGAGCAA